UACGUAGGGCGCAAGCGUUGUCCGGAAUUAUAGGGCGUAAAGAGCUCGUAGGCGGCUUGUCACGUCGGAUGUGAAAGCCCGGGGCUUAACCCCGGGUCUGCAUUCGAUACGGGCUAGCUAGAGUGUGGUAGGGGAGAUCGGAAUUCCUGGUGUAGCGGUGAAAUGCGCAGAUAUCAGGAGGAACACCGGUGGCGAAGGCGGAUCUCUGGGCCAUUACUGACGCUGAGGAGCGAAAGCGUGGGGAGCGAACAGG
rnacentral:rRNA from 1 species